AUGUACUUCCUCAAACGCUUAGCGGAAUGGAAAAAAUCAUCCCUACUAGGGCAUUAGGACGAGCGCCUCCCUACCAACAUAGAGGAAACAAUCGACUCCUACCCUCAAAGUUUUAUUAGGGAUAUGGGUGAUGUUGAAUUUAUGUACCUAAUUUGUUUAAUUAUAACGAUCCAAAGGGAACUCUAUUUUUUUUUUUUUUUUGCUUUUUAUAAAAUGUAAGACCUUUACGUUUGUAGAAUAAACAGUUUUCUCUCAUCUUUAUUCAUGUCGUUAUCUUUGAAUAAACGUAUGCCCUUUUCAUCAAGCUAUGUGAGUUAAGUGUUGUCUUGAUUAUAAAUACACUUCGCUACCAAAUCGGACGGCAGUGAAGUGAUCACACGUGUGUUGUAGUUUGGAGCCGGCAGUUGGUGUCUUGGUGAGCUGUACCAGAAAUCUUUACAAACGUGCUAAAAAGUAUAGUAAGCUUGAAUAGGCGGCCAAAUGGGAACAUUCCUAGCACAAAAAAUUUGCAAAUCUUAAUGAGAAGGAAUAAUUCUAUCCGGGCAUCAAUAUUUUAUGAUAUGAGACCAAUUUAGUAGAAUUUUAAUUCAAAAUUACAAGUUGUUAUGCAAAGAAUCAGUAUAUAAUCCAAAGAAUUUAAGCUUGUCAAUAUAAUUAAGCAUCCUGCACUGACUCCCAUCUAAUUGACCAAGGGAAAAUAAAAAAUGAAAAUAAAAGGAAGACGUAUAGACUACUGUGAAUGUUUGGUAAAUAGUACUGGAUAGUAAAUUUUAGUUUAAAAUUGAUCGUUGUUCACCUCAAAAUCGGUUGAUUAGUCAUCAUGACUUAUUGUUUAGACUAACCAAUCCUUCAUAUGACGCAUGCUAUUAAAAAAAAUAAAAAAUCAGGGUAUGUUUUAAACGCAAUAUUAACAACAUUGUGAGGAAUAAGCAGUGUAAUCUUAACCCUUUUUUUCUUCUCAAAUAUUAUUCAAUUGGGUCGAAUUUUACAUGCCAAACAUGCUCAGGUCAUGUACUUCCUCAAACGCUUAGCGGAAUGGAAAAAAUCAUCCCUACUAGGGCAUUAGGACGAGCGCCUCCCUACCAACAUAGAGGAAACAAUCGACUCCUACCCUCAAAGUUUUAUUAGGGAUAUGGGUGAUGUUGAAUUUAUGUACCUAAUUUGUUUAAUUAUAACGAUCCAAAGGGAACUCUAUUUUUUUUUUUUUUUGCUUUUUAUAAAAUGUAAGACCUUUACGUUAGUAGAAUAAACUCUCAUCUUUAUUCA
rnacentral:lncRNA from 1 species